GGCUGGUCCCAAGGCGGCGAGUUCUCUCGAUUGACUGUUCACAGCCAGUCACAGAUCGAGCUCCUGGUUCUACUGUUUUCCCCUUUCUCACUACUGCACUUGACUAGCCUUUA
rnacentral:Y_RNA from 1 species